rnacentral:rRNA from 1 species
GACGAACGCUGGCGGCGUGCUUAACACAUGCAAGUCGAACGGAAAGGCCCUGCUUUUGUGGGGUGCUCGAGUGGCGAACGGGUGAGUAACACGUGAGUAACCUGCCCUUGACUUUGGGAUAACUUCAGGAAACUGGGGCUAAUACCGGAUAGGAGCUCCUGCUGCAUGGUGGGGGUUGGAAAGUUUCGGCGGUUGUGGAUGGACUCGCGGCUUAUCAGCUUGUUGGGGGGGUAGUGGCUUACCAAGGCUUUGACGGGUAGCCGGCCUGGGAGGGUGGCCGGCCACAUUGGGCCUGAGAUACGGCCCAGACUCCUACGGGAGGCAGCAGGGGGGAGUAUUGCGCAAUGGGCGGAAGCCUGAUGCAGCAACGCCGCGUGCGGGAUGACGGCUUUCGGGUUGUAAACCGCUUUCGCCUGUGACGAAGCGUGAGUGACGGUAAUGGGUAAAGAAGCACCGGCUAACUACGUG